GACGUAGGGCGCGAGCGUUGUCCGGAAUUAUUGGGCGUAAAGGGCUCGUAGGCGGUUUGUCACGUCGGGAGUGAAAACUCAGGGCUCAACCCUGAGCCUGCUUCCGAUACGGGCAGACUAGAGGUAUGCAGGGGAGAACGGAAUUCCUGGUGUAGCGGUGAAAUGCGCAGAUAUCAGGAGGAACACCGGUGGCGAAGGCGGUUCUCUGGGCAUUACCUGACGCUGAGGAGCGAAAGUGUGGGGAGCGAACAGG
rnacentral:rRNA from 1 species